AAAUUGAAGAGUUUGAUCAUGGCUCAGAUUGAACGCUGGCGGCAGGCCUAACACAUGCAAGUCGAACGGUAACAGAAAGCAGCUUGCUGCUUUGCUGACGAGUGGCGGACGGGUGAGUAAUGUCUGGGAAACUGCCUGAUGGAGGGGGAUAACUACUGGAAACGGUAGCUAAUACCGCAUAAUGUCGCAAGACCAAAGAGGGGGACCUUCGGGCCUCUUGCCAUCGGAUGUGCCCAGAUGGGAUUAGCUUGUUGGUGGGGUAACGGCUCACCAAGGCGACGA
rnacentral:rRNA from 1 species